GCCCCGGUAGCUCAGUGGAUAGAGCACGCGCCUCCUAAGCGCGGGGUCGCAGGUUCGAUUCCUGCCCGGGGCGCCA
rnacentral:tRNA from 1 species